CUGAAAUUCGCCUUCAUGAAGCUGGAAUUGCUAGUAAUGGCAGGUCAGCAUACUGCCGUGAAUACGUUCCCGGGCCUUGUACACACCGCCCGUCACACCAUGAGAGUUGGGAAUACCCGAAGCCUGUGAGCUAACUUAUAGAGGCAGCAGUCGAAGGUAGAAUCAAUGAUUGGGGUGAAGUCGUAACAAGGUAUC
rnacentral:rRNA from 1 species